UACAAANAAGCCCCUUGCUAACUUCGUGCCAGCAGCCGCGGUAAUACGAAGGGGGCUAGCGUUGUUCGGAUUUACUGGGCGUAAAGCGCACGUAGGCRGACUAUUAAGUCAGGGGUGAAAUCCCGGGGCUCAACCCCGGAACUGCCUUUGAKACUGGWAGUCUCGAVUCCGGAAGAGGUGAGUGGAAUUCCGAGUGUARARGUGAAAUUCRUAKAUAUUCGGAGGAACACCAKUGGCRAAGGCGGCUCACUGGWCCGGUACUGACGCUGAGGUGCGAAAGCKUGGGGAGCAAACAGGAUUAGAUACCCUGGUAGUCCACGCUGUAAACGAUGGAAGCUAGCCGUUGGCAGGUUUACCUGUCGGUGGCGCAGCUAACGCAUUAAGCUUCCCGCCUGGGGAGUACGGUCGCAAGAUUAAAACUCVAAUGAAUUGAC
rnacentral:rRNA from 1 species